UACGAAGGUGGCAAGCGUUGUUCGGAUUUACUGGGCGUACAGGGAGCGUAGGCGGUUGGAUAAGCCCUCCGUGAAAUCUCCAGGCUUAACCUGGGAAUGGCAUUUGGGACUGCAAGGCUCGAGUGCGGCAGAGGAGACUGGAAUUCCUGGUGUAGCAGUGAAAUGCGUAGAUAUCAGGAGGAAUACCGAUGGCGAAGGCAGGUCUCUGGGCUGACACUGACGCUCAUGCACGAAAGCGUGGGGAGCAAACAGG
rnacentral:rRNA from 1 species